rnacentral:misc_RNA from 1 species
AUUCUUCAACCCACACUUUUUCUUAGUAAACUGAGUGGUGCUUGGAUUUUGAUUGUUUGCUAGGUCUCACGACUUUGGCUCAAUCGUAAUAUAUUAGCAAUUCUAACCUAUAAUUGGAUUGACUCGGUGUAAUAGACUAUUCGCUGAGGAGUACUUGCUUGCAAGUGGCCAAAUAUAAAAUUGACUUUGCUUCUAAUCAGACUUUCUUAGUCAACUUUUUAAG